rnacentral:rRNA from 1 species
UGUCUUUUUGAGUUUAAUAUAAAGUCUAAUCUGCCCACUGAUUUAAAAAAAUUAAAUGGCUGCAGUAUAUUGACUGUACAAAGGUAGCAUAAUCAUUAGUCAUUUAAUUGGUGACUUGUAUGAAGGAUUGGAUGAGAUAUAAACUGUCUUUUAUUUAAUUAUAAAAUUUAAUUUUUUUAUUAAAAAGUUAAAAUAAAUUAAAAAGACGAGAAGACCCUAUAGAGUUUUAUAAAUAAUUAAGUUAAGAUUAUAUUUAAAGUUUAAGUUUAAAAUUUAAAUAUUUAUUUUGUUGGGGUGAUAGAAAAAUAUAAAAAACUUUUUUUACAUAAAAACAUUUAUAAGUGAUUAAAUGAUCCAAUUUUAUUGAUUAUAAGAAAAAAUUACCUUAGGGAUAACAGCGUAAUUUUUUUUUUUAGUUCAAAUAAGAAAAAGAGUUUGCGACCUCGAUGUUGGAUUAAGAUAAAAUUUAAAUGUAGAAG